rnacentral:rRNA from 1 species
UACGAAGGGGGCUAGCGUUGCUCGGAAUCACUGGGCGUAAAGCGCACGUAGGCGGCUUUGCAAGUCGGGUGUGAAAGCCUGGGGCUCAACCCCAGAAGUGCAUUCGAAACUGCAGAGCUUGAGUGUCGGAGAGGGUGGUGGAAUUCCGAGUGUAGAGGUGAAAUUCGUAGAUAUUCGGAGGAACACCAGUGGCGAAGGCGACCACCUGGACGAACACUGACGCUGAGGUGCGAAAGCGUGGGGAGCAAACAGG